CUACGGGGCGCAGCAGUGGGGAAUAUUGCACAAUGGGCGAAAGCCUGAUGCAGCAACGCCGCGUGAGGGACGACGGCCUUCGGGUUGUAAACCUCUUUUAGCAGGGAAGAAGCGAAAGUGACGGUACCUGCAGAAAAAGCACCGGCUAACUACGUGCCAGCAGCCGCGGUAAUACGUAGGGUGCGAGCGUUGUCCGGAAUUAUUGGGCGUAAAGAGCUCGUAGGCGGUUUGUCGCGUCUGCUGUGAAAAUCCGAGGCUCAACCUCGGACCUGCAGUGGGUACGGGCAAACUAGAGUGCGGUAGGGGAGAUUGGAAUUCCUGGUGUAGCGGUGGAAUGCGCAGAUAUCAGGAGGAACACCAAUGGCGAAGGCAGAUCUCUGGGCCGUAACUGACGCUGAGGAGCGAAAGCGUGGGGAGCGAACAGGAUUAGAUACCCCAGUAGUC
rnacentral:rRNA from 1 species